GGAGUUAGCCGGUGCUUCUUCUGUGAGUGAUGUCCUUCCUGCCGGCUAUUAACCCGCAGGCCUUCUUCCUCACUGAAAGUGCUUUACAACCCGAAGGCCUUCUUCACACACGCGGCAUGGCUGGAUCAGGGUUGCCCCCAUUGUCCAAUAUUCCCCACUGCUGCCUCCCGUAGGAGUCUGGGCCGUGUCUCAGUCCCAGUGUGGCUGAUCAUCCUCUCAGACCAGCUACGGAUCGUCGCCUUGGUGAGCCGUUACCUCACCAACCAGCUAAUCCGACAUAGGCUCAUCCGAUAGCGCGAGGCCCGAAGGUCCCCCGCUUUCCCCCGUAGGGCGUAUGCGGUAUUAGCCUGGGUUUCCCCAGGUUAUCCCCCACUACCGGGCAGAUUCCUAUGCAUUACUCACCCGUCCGCCGCUCGCCACCACGGGAGCAAGCUCCCCGUGCUGCCGCUCGACUUGCAUGUGUUAGGCCUGCCGCCAGCGUUCAAUCUGAGCCAGGACUACAAACUCUGA
rnacentral:rRNA from 1 species